UCCCCAGUGGCGCAAUUGGCUACCGCGCGGUACUUAUAAUGCCAGGUUGUAAAGUUCGACCCUUUCCCGGGGAA